rnacentral:antisense_RNA from 24 species
UGAAUUAAAAUUUUCUUAAAAUCUCGAUUUAUAGGGGGUUUUUUGAAGUGAUUUGAACGUUUAAGAAUAGUGUAUGGUGGCCCCGAAUGGACUUGAACCAUCGACUUCCACCA